rnacentral:misc_RNA from 1 species
AAGUCGUAACAAGGUUUCCGUAGGUGAACCUGCGGAAGGAUCAUUACCAUAUCCAAAACUUUACCAACCCACCGUGUGAACUGUUGUGAAUGUUCUUUAUUUACUUGGGGUUUAGGAAGCUUGUGAGAGACCAAGAGAAGUUACGGAUGGCGUUUGUUCACAUCUAUUUUGAGUAGUGUAGCCUCGUUAAACAGGCUACGAACAAACACUGUCUUUCUCUGGGUUGCUCGUCUGCUUCUGUUGCCCCAUGAGUAAAUAGCUGGAGCAUUCGAUUUAAACUACUCAGAAAACUUAACACCUUGUCAAACCAACAACAUACAAACCUGAUUUUUGUAGCGAUGAAGCAUCUUUAUGGUGCUUGAUCAAUACUAAAAAACGAAAACCAAUAGACAACUUACAACGGUGGAUCUCUUGGCUCGU